UGACUCCCUCCAAUGCCUUGGGAUUAUUGACCUAGCCGCGUCCAGCAAAUGUAAGAAAAUCACUGAUUCUUGUUGGUCUCCCCUCAAGUGCUUGCCAAUCCUUGAAGGCUCCAUACUCUAAACUGGGUAUAAACCCAGCCUGAUCAUCAUGAAUUAAAUCCGGUAAGUAUUUUUUCAAUCUGUUUGCUAUUAUUUUAGCGUAUAUUUUUAGAUCUAUGUUUAUUAGGGAUAUUGGCCUAUAGCUUUCACAGAGCUGGGGAUCUUUCCCCUCUUUUGGGAUAAUAGUAAUGUUAGCUUCUUUUGCCUGUUUAUG